GGUCAAGUGAAUAAGAGCAUGUGGUGGAUGCCUUGGCGAUGAUAGGCGACGAAGGACGUGAUAGCCUGCGAUAAGCUUCGGGGAGCUGGCAAAUAAGCUUUGAUCCGGAGAUUUCCGAAUGGGGAAACCCACCUCGCAAGAGGUAUCGCAUGAUGAAUACAUAGUCAUGCGAGGCGAACCGGGUGAACUGAAACAUCUCAGUAGCUCGAGGAAAAGACAUCAACCGAGAUUCCGAAAGUAGUGGCGAGCGAAAUCGGAAGAGCCUGCAAGUGAUAGCACAAGACUUAACGGAACAGCUUGGAAAGGCUGGCCAUAGCGGGUGAUAGCCCCGUACGUGAAAAGACCUGUGUGGUACUGAGCUUGCGACAAGUAGGGCGGGACACGAGAAAUCCUGUCUGAAUAUGGGGGGACCAUCCUCCAAGGCUAAAUACUCGUAAUCGACCGAUAGUGAACUAGUACCGUGAGGGAAAGGCGAAAAGAACCCCGGGAGGGGAGUGAAAUAGAUCCUGAAACCGCAUGCAUACAAACAGUCGGAGCCUGGAAACGGGUGACGGCGUACCUUUUGUAUAAUGGGUCAGCGACUUACAUUCAGUGGCAAGGUUAACCGAAUAGGGAAGCCGUAGAGAAAUCGAGUCCGAAUAGGGCGUUCAGUCGCUGGGUGUAGACCCGAAACCAAGUGAUCUAUCCAUGGCCAGGAUGAAGGUGAGGUAACACUUACUGGAGGUCCGAACCGACUAGUGUUGCAAAACUAGCGGAUGAGCUGUGGAUAGGGGUGAAAGGCUAAACAAACUUGGAAAUAGCUGGUUCUCUCCGAAAACUAUUUAGGUAGUGCCUCAAGUAUUACCGUCGGGGGUAGAGCACUGUUAUGGCUAGGGGGUCAUGGCGACUUACCAAACCAUUGCAAACUCCGAAUACCGAUGAGUACAGCUUGGGAGACAGUGCACCGGGU
rnacentral:rRNA from 1 species